UACGGAGGGGGCUAGCGUUGUUCGGAAUUACUGGGCGUAAAGCGCACGUAGGCGGCUUUGUAAGUUAGAGGUGAAAGCCCGGGGCUCAACUCCGGAAUUGCCUUUAAGACUGCAUCGCUAGAAUUGUGGAGAGGUAAGUGGAAUUCCGAGUGUAGAGGUGAAAUUCGUAGAUAUUCGGAAGAACACCAGUGGCGAAGGCGGCUUGCCAGAACGCGCUCGACGGGUGAGGGAUGAAAGCUGGGGGAGCAAACCGG
rnacentral:rRNA from 1 species